GAUAGAAACCAACCUGGCUCACACCGGUCUGAACUCAAAUCAUGUAAAGUUUUAAAGGUCGAACAGACCUUCUUUUAUAGUCUCUACUCCAUAAAGAACCUUUAAUUCAACAUCGAGGUCGCAAACUCUCUUAUCGAUAAGAACUCUCAAAGAAAAUUACGCUGUUAUCCCUAAAGUAACUUAAUCUUUAAUCCACUUUAGGAUCAUCCACUCAAACAUUAUUGUAAUAAAAAAAAACAGUUGCUUUCCCUUCUAUUUUUGUCGCCCCAACCAAAUACUUUAAAAUAAUAACCCUUAAACAAAACAUACCCAUCACUUUUUAAUAUAAAGUUUUAUAGGGUCUUAUCGUCCCUCCAGAUUAUUUAAGCCUUUUCACUUAAAAGUUAAAUUCAAUAUAUUAACCUAAGACAGAUUAUUUCUUGUCCGACCAUUCAUUCUAGCCUCCAAUUAAAAAACUAAUGAUUAUGCUACCUUCGCACGGUC
rnacentral:rRNA from 1 species